UACAGAGGGGGCAAGCGUUAUUCGGAAUUAUUGGGCGUAAAGGGCGCGUAGGCGGCUUGGCAAGUGGAUGGUGAAAUCCCUCGGCUUAACCGAGGAACUGCCGUCCAAACUGCUUUGCUUGAGGCCGGGAGAGGUGAGUGGAAUUCCCAGUGUAGCGGUGAAAUGCGUAGAUAUUGGGAGGAACACCAGUGGCGAAGGCGGCUCACUGGACCGGUACUGACGCUGAUGCGCGAAAGCGUGGGGAGCAAACAGG
rnacentral:rRNA from 1 species